AACGUAGGAGACAAACGUUAUCCGGAGUUACUGGGCGUAAAGGGCGUGUAGGUGGUAAUGUAAGUCUGGCGUGAAAUUUUUCGGCUUGACCGGGAAAGGUCGUCGGAGACUGCAUAACUAGAGGACGGUAGAGGCGUGUGGAAUUCCGGGUGUAGUGGUGAAAUGCGUAGAGAUCCGGAGGAACACCAGUGGCGAAGGCGACACGCUGGGCCGUACCUGACGCUGAGGCGCGAAAGCGUGGGGAGCGAACAGG
rnacentral:rRNA from 1 species